rnacentral:rRNA from 1 species
AGGUAGCCAAAUGCCUUGCCGGGUAAGUUCCGGCGCGCAUGAAUGGAUCAACGAGGGCCCCACUGUCCCGGCCCGGGACCCCGUGAAGCCCACGUGGCCGGUGCACAGGCCGGCAUCCCCCCGUAGGGAGAGAAGACCUCGUGGAGCUUUACCGCAGCCUGGCGUUGGUUCUCGGGCCGCGAUACGUAGAGUAGGCGGGAGGCCGUGAACUCACUCCCCUGGGGGUGAGGGAGCCGCAAGUGAAACACCGCCUAUCGCGGCCUGAGGGCCUAACCCCGGGGAUGCCCGGGGGACAGCGUCAGGUGGGCGGUUUGGCUGGGGCGGCAUACCCGCGAAAAGAUAACACGGGUGCCCAAAGGUCGGCUCAGGCGGGUCAGGACUCCGCCGUAGAGUGCAAGGGCAAAAGCCGGCCUUACCAGACCCUUGACAGUAAGGGGUCUGGUCGGGAAACCGCGGCCUAGCGAACGCUCGUGCCCCCAUCGGUGGGGGCCGGGCAUGACAGAAAAGUUACCCCGAGGAUAACAGGGUCGUCGCGGGCGAGAGCCCCCAUCGACCCCGCGGUUUGCUACAUCGAUGUCGGCUCUUCCCAUCCUGGAGGUGCAGCAGCCUCCAAGGGUGGGGCUGCCCGCCCAUUAAAGGGGAGCGUGAGCUGGGUUUAGACCGUCGUGAGACAGGUCGGACUCUACCCACGGGGGGUGCGGGCCGCCUGAGGGGAAGGCGCCCUAAGUACGAAAGGAACGGGGCGUCGCGGCCUAUGGUAGACCGGCUGUUCGGCAGAGCAUGCCGGGCAGCUACGCCGUGUGGGGUAACCGCUGAAAGCAUCUAAGCGGGAACCCCUCCCCGAAAAGAGGCGGCCGUUCGCCGGGGGAAACUCCGGCGACGAGGGCUCCCGUAGAAGACGGGUUUGAUGGGGCGGGGGUGUAUGCCCGCCG